GACGAACGCUGGCGGCGUGCUUAACACAUGCAAGUCGAACGGAAAGGCCCUGCUCUUGUGGGGUGCUCGAGUGGCGAACGGGUGAGUAACACGUGAGUAACCUGCCCUUGACUUUGGGAUAACUUCAGGAAACUGGGGCUAAUACCGGAUAGGAGCUCCUGCUGCAUGGUGGGGGUUGGAAAGUUUCGGCGGUUGGGGAUGGACUCGCGGCUUAUCAGCUUGUUGGUGGGGUAGUGGCUUACCAAGGCUUUGACGGGUAGCCGGCCUGAGAGGGUGACCGGCCACAUUGGGACUGAGAUACGGCCCAGACUCCUACGGGAGGCAGCAGUGGAGAAUAUUGCACAAUGGGCGGAAGCCUGAUGCAGCAACGCCGCGUGCGGGAUGACGGCCUUCGGGUUGUAAACCGCUUUCGCCUGUGACGAAGCGUGAGUGACGGUAAUGGGUAAAGAAGCACCGGCUAACUACGUG
rnacentral:rRNA from 1 species